UACGAAGGGGGCUAGCGUUGCUCGGAAUCACUGGGCGUAAAGGGUGCGUAGGCGGGUCUUUAAGUCAGGGGUGAAAUCCUGGAGCUCAACUCCAGAACUGCCUUUGAUACUGAGGAUCUUGAGUUCGGGAGAGGUGAGUGGAACUGCGAGUGUAGAGGUGAAAUUCGUAGAUAUUCGCAAGAACACCGGUGGCGAAGGCGGCCAACUGGACCAUCACUGACGCUGAGGCGCGAAAGCGUGGGGAGCAAACAGG
rnacentral:rRNA from 1 species